GGACUGCUUUCUACUCAGGAAGCUUGAGACGGAGCAGAGGGCAGAUGAUAGGCAAAGCCAGGGAACACCUUUGUUCCAAAGGAACCUCGACAGGAGGGAAUCCUGGUCCCAACAUGCAGGUAAGUAAUCAUGCCAGUUUGCUGUGGAGGCAUUGGUGGCAUGCCCGCAUUUUUGCCUCCUCCCUCUCUGCGGGCUGUUUCACUACCUCCUUUGCUGACUUCUUCUCCUCUGCUGGUCCUUCAGUGUUCAUGUUCCUCAUGGCUCUGUUCCUGGGCCUGGGCUCUUACUCUUCACUUUCCGUGCACCAUCUCAACCAUCCUGGGGCAACAGGAAGAAGAUGUGUCUCCCAAGCUCCAGACAAAUACAUGCAACUACCUUCUGAGUUCCUACCUGGAUAUCCCAUAGGGCGCUCAAACUCAAUAUAACAAAAAUCACACAUUCCUCCUCCCUCGGAUUUGCUUCUUCCUCAGUGUUCCCUCUCUCGGUAAAUGGCCCUGCUCUCUAAGCUGUUACCCAAGCAGCAACCUGGAAGUGGACCUUGACUUUUCACUCCCCCGCCCCUCCCACCUAUUCAUUCAAUCACUAAUUCCCGUCAUCUCCUUUAGUUCUUUUCUGCAUUCCACAGACAUCAGAGAGUCCAGGCCACCAGAUCCUCUCUCCUGGGCCAGUGCAGGAAUUCCCUUGCUGCCUUCUCUGCUUCUAGGCUUAUUCCAAUCCAUAAUUCGUCCUGCAGCUAGUUGGAUAGUCUAGCAAUGAAAGCUGCCCUGAUGUAACACUUUCCUCUUGUCCUAAGGAUGAUACCCAGACACUUAAACAUGCUCUAAGGCCACGAUUUGACCUUGCGCUAGCUGCCAGCUGCAUCUCUUCUCAGCUCCCUCCUAUUUUUGUGCUCCACUUACAAUGAGCUUCAUUCAGUUCCUCAAAUGUCCCCAUGCUUUUUCUGACUUCUGCAUCUUUGCAGAUGCUAGUCCCUCUGGCUGUAGCAUACCCCACCUUUGGUGUCUAGGUCCCCUCUGUCCCUCCUUUGCCUCCCAGCUUAAAUACCAAUUCCUUUAGGAGCCCUUUCCUGGCCCCUAAGCUUGACUCACCCCCUGGUAAGUGUUCCCAUAGCUCUCCCCACCUCUACCAGCAUAAAAUGCAGCACAACUGGCACCAGUUCAAGAUUUGCCUUUCUUGAUAGUGUUGGAGAGCAGGGAAUGUAUCUGUCUUAUUCAAUUGUAUUUCAUUGUCUGGCAUGCUGGGUAUAGUCAUUGCUCAAUAAGUAUUUAUUGAGUAUUUAAGUAAAUGAAUACAAAUAACUAAAGAAUAAUAUCUCUUAUUUUGAAUUUUUCUGAUCAUCAAUAAGAUUAAACUGUUUUGGUAUGUGUUUCUUAGUAAUUUGUUGUUUUAGUUGCCAUUUCAUAUUCUUGGCCUAUUUUUCCUUAUUUUUUGUUAUUAAGUAUUAAGAACUUUCUGUAAAUUAAAGAUAUUAGUUCCUUUAUAUUUUAUAAAUAAUUUUUCUGAUAUAUCCUUUGUUUUUUUUUACUUUUAGUAUUUUUUUUUCUUAUAAAGCCUUUGAAUUAUCACAUAUUUGAAUUGACCAAUCUUUUGCAUGAGGAUUAGAAAGGGCUCCCAUAUAGGCAUAUGUUUGUAUUUGCAAGGAAGGAUGCUUGACUUAUUUUCCUCUGUGGGUUGAUAUGGAGGGAAGUGCCUGUGAGGAAACAUUUAUCUCUUACUUUGCUAUAAGGUUGUAAAGUUUUUUGUAGAGGCUUUUGUUUUCAAACAAAAAUAUUUAAGGCUGACUCUUAAGACUUCCAUUUCCUGAAGAUGGAGUAGAUAUCUUUUUCUGUAUUCCUCCUGCUUAGCAAAACUGAAAACCUUAGACAUUAUUUAAAAAGACUCUGAAAGAUAGAAAGAGGAAGCAGAUCAUCUAGGGAAUUUGCAACCCCAGGAAAAACAUGGUGGUGAGUUCCUGGGUUUCUCUUGCAUUUUAUAUCCCCGUUUUGGAGUUGAAGAAGGCAUUGUAACCCAGAAACGCCAAGGGGCACAAACAUAGACCCAACAAAAGCCUGUUCUCUCUAGUUAAAGAGCCAGGGAAAAGGCAGCUUAGCAAGACAGAAAAUGUUUAGACAAUAACCACUCUACUCUAGUAAAACAUCAAAGAGAAAACUGUGGCUGCACUCCCACCCAUGCCAGCAAAAGCUAGGUUGGGCGGGUUACUUCCCUCCUUCCUAGGCUGUAACAAGUCACCUCAAUCUGGUGCUCUCCCUCCACCCCCACCCUUCCCUGUUCCAGGGUGGUGUCAGAGAAGGCCAAGUAGGGAACUGAGAUUUUUCAAAGUCCCCUCCCUGCAAGUGUCAUUGGAGACCACGUGAGGAGACAGAACUUCCACUCCCUAUCACUGUAAUAAGACAUCUUUCUGUUCCACACUGGGGUAGUGUCAGAAAAAGACUCCACUCUUCCAGUGGAGCAUCAGGACUUUCACCAUCACCCAGGGGUAAAUGAGGUCACUCCUACUGCAGUGAUGGUGGAGGCCACAAGGGGAGCCAGCAUGCCCUCAACCCUCUGCUGUCAGUGGAGGCCUGACUUCUACCUCCACCUGACAAUAAUGAGGCAAUCCCCUGCUUUCGUUGUGUCAGAAAAAGCCAGCUAAGAUAGACAGUUUUGAUAAGAUCCAGGGUCUUCUAACUUAAAAUGCAAAUGUUCAGGUUUCAAUUGAAAGUUAUUUCUUAUACCAAGAACCAGAAAUAUCUCAAACUGAAUGAAAAAAGACAAUAAGUAGACGCUAUAGUAAUUUCCUAGGGAUGCUGUAACAUUAUCCCUAAAAAACUUAGCAUAAAACAACAGAAGUUUAUUCUCUGUUCUGGAGGCCAGAAAUACAAAAUUAAGGUGUCAAAAAAACUAGGAAAGAGUCUUUGCCCUUUCCAGCUUCUAUGAUUCCAGUUAUUCCUUGGCUUAUAGCUGCAUCACUCUAAUAUCAGCUUCCAUGCACACAUUGCAUGCUCUUCUGUAUUUCCCUCAUAAGGACACCUAUAACUGGAUUAAGUCCUGCCUGGAUAAUCCAGGAUGAUCUCUCCAACUCAAGAUCCUUAAUUACAUCUGCAACAAACCCUUUUCCCGAAUGAGGUAACAUUCGCAGAAAUUAGGAUGUGGAUAUAUCUUUUUUGGGGGGGGCUUGCUACCAUUUACCUCACUAUGGGUGCCAACAUUGAUAUGACAGAGAUGUUAGAAUUAUUAGACAAAGAUUUUAAUGUAGGCAUGAUAAAAAUACUUUGAUGACCAGUUAUGAAUGUGGUACAAACAAAUGUAAAAAUAGAAGGCCUCUCAGAGAAAUAGAAAGUCUCACCAAAGAAAUAGAGGAUAUCAGGAAAAGUCAAGUGGCAAAUUAGAAGAUACAAUAUAGAAAUAAAAAGCUUAGUGAUUGGCCCAUCAGCAGAAUGGAGAGGACAAAAAAAAAAAGAGCCAGUGAACUGGAGAAUAGAACAAUAAAAAUAAUCCAAUCAGUAUGACAGAAAGAAAAUAGAUUGAAGAGAAAGGGGUGGGGAACUGAGAUACACAGAGACUCAGGUACCUAUGGAACUAAGGCAGAAGAUCUAACAUUCAUGUCAUUGGAGUUCCAGAAUGAGAGGAGAGAGAAGGUGAGGCUAAACAAGUACUCAAAGAAAUAAUGACCUGUAACUUUUUGAAUUUAACAAAAGACAUAAACCUACAGAUUAAAGAAGCUGAGAGAAACUCAGUCAAGAUAAAGCCAAAAAAAGCCAUGCCAAGACAUAUUAUAAUUAAAUGUUUGAAAACUAAAAUCAAAGAAAACAUCUUAAAAGCAGCCAUAGGAAAACAGUUUCUUAUCUAUAGGUGAAAGGCAAUUCAAAUAACAUUGUAUUUCUCACCAUAAAAUGUGAAGAAAGAAGUACCACAAAAUUUUUCAAGUUCUGAGAGAAAACCAUCAGUCCAGAAUCCUGUGCCUGGUGAAAAUAUCCUUCAGGAAUGAAGGGGGAAUCAAGACAUUUUCAAAUGAAAAAAAAAAAAAAA
rnacentral:lncRNA from 1 species